CCACAACACAAAGCGCCCCAAAGUUGCUUCACUCCUUGGGGGAGAGUUCCAUGCUACGUCAUGUGUGAAGAAAGCUGACGUUUUUAACUAGGAUACUUCGGGCAACAGUUAAGGAAGGAAUAGCGACUCUCGACGGUCUCCCUCUGAAUGCACUGGAUGAAAUUCGCCGUUAUUUUUUCAGAACAACUAGCUACUAUAAACAGGAGAUUCGUUUAUUGCACACCGUAGUUUUUAUCCCAUUGAGUGCUACUUACUACUUCAAUUUUUCCCCAGACGAAUUCAAUCUCCCAAGAUAAUAAUUGAAAUACCUGUAGUGCAUAUCGGAUGAGACUUUCCUAGGUCAAGUUUCAUAAAACUGCAUGAGCACUUUGUGGAACCAUGGCAUGGAUAAAGAGUGGUGUUUUGAUCAAGCUCUUCAAAAGCUUCCUUAUUGCGGUUGUGUUGGCUCCAAGUUUGAGAUCCGCAGGAUUCAUGAUCCACACUUUGACACCCUGAGCAGUUCCACAGGCCUCAGCUCCAGUGGACUGCUGUCAUUUCCAUAAGAGGCCAAAAGGUAUUUACUACAGGGCUGAAAGUGAAAUGGUGGGCAGGAAUCUAGAAGUUAAUAGGAGCCUCCUUAUGGGUAGAAACCUGGGGCUGACGGAGGAUGAGAGGCUACAAAGGGAAGGGAGGGAACUCACACACCUACCUCUCUCCAAAAUGUAGUUUGAACAGCCUGGCAGGAGAGGCUUGAGGUUCGCCAGGCUGUGCUGAUACCACAGCAGUCUGGCCCUCCUCUCCCCACUCUCAAAGGGCCCUUUCAUGGCCAGGGAAGCAGGCUACAGGAAUGCAAUGCAGCCAGCACUGA
rnacentral:lncRNA from 1 species